GACGUAGGGCGCGAGCGUUGUCCGGAUUUAUUGGGCGUAAAGAGCUCGUAGGCGGCUCGUUGCGUCGGCUGUGAAAACCCGCAGCUCAACUGUGGGCUUGCAGCUGAUACGGGCGGGCUGGGAUUCGGUAGGGGAGACUGGAAUUCCUGGUGUAGCGGUGAAAUGCGCAGAUAUCAGGAGGAACACCGGUGGCGAAGGCGGGUCUCUGGACCGUAACUGACGCUGAGGCACGAAAGCGUGGGUAGCAAACAGG
rnacentral:rRNA from 1 species